CAAUAGCGUAUAUUUAAGUUGUUGCAGUUAAAAAGCUCGUAGUUGGAUUUCGGAUGGGACUUGCCGGUCCGUCGUUUCGAUGUGCACUGGCCAGUCCUAUCUUGUUGUCGGGGACUAGCUCCUGGGCUUCACUGUCCGGGACUAGGAGCUGACGAGGUUACUUUGAGUAAAUUAGAGUGUUCAAAGCAAGCCUACGCUCUGAAUACAUUAGCAUGGAAUAACACGAUAGGACUCUGGCUUAUCUUGUUGGUCUGUGAGACCAGAGUAAUGAUUAAGAGGGACAGUCGGGGGCAUUCGUAUUUCAUUGUCAGAGGUGAAAUUCUUGGAUUUAUGAAAGACGAACUUCUGCGAAAGCAUUUGUCAAGGAUGUUCNCAUUAA
rnacentral:rRNA from 1 species